UGGGGAAUAUUGCACAAUGGGCGCAAGCCUGAUGCAGCCAUGCCGCGUGUGUGAAGAAGGCCUUCGGGUUGUAAAGCACUUUCAGCGAGGAGGAAGGUGGUGAGCUUAAUACGCUCAUCAAUUGACGUUACUCGCAGAAGAAGCACCGGCUAACUCCGUGCCAGCAGCCGCGGUAAUACGGAGGGUGCAAGCGUUAAUCGGAAUUACUGGGCGUAAAGCGCACGCAGGCGGUUUGUUAAGUCAGAUGUGAAAUCCCCGGGCUCAACCUGGGAACUGCAUUUGAAACUGGCAAGCUAGAGUCUCGUAGAGGGGGGUAGAAUUCCAGGUGUAGCGGUGAAAUGCGUAGAGAUCUGGAGGAAUACCGGUGGCGAAGGCGGCCCCCUGGACGAAGACUGACGCUCAGGUGCGAAAGCGUGGGGAGCAAAACAGGAUUAGNUACCCUGGUAGUCACGCUAUAAAACGAUGUCGAUUUUGGAGGUUGUGCCCCUUGAGGCGUGGCUUCCGGAGCUAACGCGUUAAAUCGACCGCCUGGGGGAGUAC
rnacentral:rRNA from 1 species